UUAAGCUGAUAGUACAAGUAAUCAUCAAUAAAAUAAUAAUAUUUUUUAAGUCGUACAAAACAUAAAGAAUGAAGUACAGUUAACCACUGCAUAUCGGUAAUUAGGAGGUUUGACCAAGUUCUUUAGUCCUCAUGAUAGUCGUGAAGAAACCUAAGAUCUCGGCAAAAAUCUUUCAUUUCAUGGCCCCCUCCCCUAUAUCCGUCAUUCUCCGUCGCAGAAAUCAUCUCGUUUCUUUUUCUACUAAACGAGUUUUCUUCCUCCAGUAAAAGAAACCCUAAGACCACUCAAAUCUUCAACAUAUUGAUGCCGCCUCCCCCACCUUCGUCUUCUCCAUCAAUGUCCUCCAUGUCCCACUCAAGCUUUUGUUUAAUCGUCUCUAUCGGAUUCCUGAAGCCAUCACCUCUUCCAUCGCACCUUACUAUUCUUCACGAUUAUUCUUGGUUUCAGAUCUAACAAUUCCGUUUAAUAGUUAGAGGUAGCUUUCUUUACAAGUUUAUACAACAUUCACUCCGCUUAUCCGACUCUGCCAUGAUCAUUGCAAUUUCGUGAACAAAUGAAAUUAUAAGUGAUGGUGGUGUAAGAUACCAUAACCCCUUAUAAAAUCAUUUCAAGAAGAAGAUGAAGAGAAGAAGACAAAGAGAAGAAGACAACAACAUUGAGCGAUGGUAGUGUAAAAUCUUGAAUCCCCCUUUCAAUCGCUUUCUCUCUCGACUCAUCAAAUCAUCGACGACCUGGUAAGAUAUACUAUAUUGUUUGUCGUUAGUAAUGGCUUGGAUGGAUGUUACGAUGGGAGGUCUUGGGUCUGUAUGAAAUUUUGUUAUAUCUGUGUAUCCAUAAUUUCAUUUGUAAUUUUAUCUCAAAUUUCUUUGUAUUCUGAUUUCUUGGUAUUUUGGUUUUUUUCAUAUAAACGAUUUAGGUCAUUCGGUAGACUUUGGAUCUGGAUGGAGGUUAGGAAGAUAGAUAUAAGCACAUCGAGAAGCACCAACAUGAUCUAGAGGAGAAGUAAUGGACUCGAAAUACGAAAAGAGAAGAGGGGAAGCAGAUCUCUGUUCUUUCUUCUUCUUCUUCUUCUUCUCUGUUUUAUCUUUUUGUUGACAUAAACACAAACACAGAUUUGUAUUGAAAAUCUAAUUACACUUGGUUCACUGUGUUUUUGUUUAUGAUUUUAGUCCUCUCUUACGUAAAUUAGGGCAUUUUUUAAUUGUCAAUACUUAUUUUUCUUGCAUUUCAGGAUUUAAUAAUGAAGCUGAUGGUGAAAAGAACAAAAAUAUAUGUACCAGAUAAUUAGAGUAGGUAAUUUCAUAUCCUGGUAAGAACAUCUUUGAUCAUUGCACACUCUCCAUCAAUUUUUAUUUAUUUUUAUUUAAGUUUAUUUUCCAAAUAUUUGUUGGUACUGAAACAUGUUUUGCAUACGUGUGUAUUGUCACUCAGUUACAAGAUAUGUGAAUGAAAUAUUUUUAGAACUGA